rnacentral:rRNA from 1 species
CGAACGGGUGAGUAACGCGUGAGGAACCUGCCUCAAAGAGGGGGACAACAGUUGGAAACGACUGCUAAUACCGCAUAAGCCCACGGCUCGGCAUCGAGCAGAGGGAAAAGGAGUGAUCCGCUUUGAGAUGGCCUCGCGUCCGAUUAGCUAGUUGGUGAGGUAACGGCCCACCAAGGCAACGAUCGGUAGCCGGACUGAGAGGUUGAACGGCCACAUUGGGACUGAGACACGGUCCAA